GGAUGAACGCUAGCGACAGGCUUAACACAUGCAAGUCGAGGGGCAGCACAGGUAGCAAUACCGGGUGGCGACCGGCGCACGGGUGAGUAACGCGUAUGCAACUUACCUAUCAGAGGGGGAUAACCCGGCGAAAGUCGGACUAAUACCGCAUGAAGCAGGGGCCCCGCAUGGGGAUAUUUGCCAAAGAUUCAUCGCUGAUAGAUAGGCAUGCGUUCCAUUAGGCAGUUGGCGGGGUAACGGCCCACCAAACCGACGAUGGAUAGGGGUUCUGAGAGGAAGGUCCCCCACAUUGGUACUGAGACACGGACCAAACUCCUACGGGAGGCAGCAGUGAGGAAUAUUGGUCAAUGGCCGAGAGGCUGAACCAGCCAAGUCGCGUGAGGGAUGAAGGUUCUAUGGAUCGUAAACCUCUUUUAUAAGGGAAUAAAGUGCGGGACGUGUCCCGUUUUGUAUGUACCUUAUGAAUAAGGAUCGGCUAACUCCGUGCCAGCAGCCGCGGUAAUACGGAGGAUCCGAGCGUUAUCCGGAUUUAUUGGGUUUAAAGGGUGCGUAGGCGGCCUUUUAAGUCAGCGGUGAAAGCCUGUGGCUCAACCAUAGAAUUGCCGUUGAAACUGGGGGGCUUGAGUAUGUUUGAGGCAGGCGGAAUGCGUGGUGUAGCGGUGAAAUGCAUAGAUAUCACGCAGAACCCCGAUUGCGAAGGCAGCCUGCCAAGCCAUUACUGACGCUGAUGCACGAAAGCGUGGGGAUCAAACAGGAUUAGAUACCCUGGUAGUCCACGCAGUAAACGAUGAUCACUAGCUGUUUGCGAUACACUGUAAGCGGCACAGCGAAAGCGUUAAGUGAUCCACCUGGGGAGUACGCCGGCAACGGUGAAACUCAAAGGAAUUGACGGGGGCCCGCACAAGCGGAGGAACAUGUGGUUUAAUUCGAUGAUACGCGAGGAACCUUACCCGGGUUUGAACGCAUUCGGACCGAGGUGGAAACACCUUUUCUAGCAAUAGCCGUCUGCGAGGUGCUGCAUGGUCGUAGUCAGCUCGUGCCGUGAGGUGUCGGCUUAAGUGCCAUAACGAGCGCAACCCUUGCCACUAGUUACUAACAGGUAAAGCUGAGGACUCUGGUGGGACUGCCAGCGUAAGCUGCGAGGAAGGCGGGGAGGACGUCAAAUCAGCUCGGCCCUUACAUCCGGGGCGACACACGUGUUACAAUGGCGUGGACAAAGGGAAGC
rnacentral:rRNA from 1 species